GGCUCAGCGCGAACGUUGGCGGCGUGCCUAACACAUGCAAGUCGUGGGGCAGCAGGCCUUCCUUUUUGGGAAGGUGCUGGCGACCGGCGAACGGGUGAGUAACGCGUAGCUAACCUACCCUAAGGAUGGGGAUAACCCCCCGAAAGGGGGGCUAAUACCCAAUAAAGAGGCUUAUUGAAUGAUGAGCCUCCAAAGGCCGCAAGGCGCCUUAGGAUGGGGCUGCGUCCCAUCAGCUAGUUGGUGAGGUAAAAGCUCACCAAGGCUACGACGGGUAGCUGGUCUGAGAGGAUGGCCAGCCACAGUGGGACUGAGACACGGCCCGCACCCCUACGGGGGGCAGCAGUGGGGAAUAUUGGGCAAUGGCCGAAAGGCUGACCCAGCAACGCCGCGUGGUGGAAGAAGCCCUUCGGGGUGUAAACACCUGUCAGUGGGGAAGAUAAUGACGGUACCCACAGAGGAAGGGACGGCUAACUACGUGCCAGCAGCCGCGGUAAUACGUAGGUCCCGAACGUUGCGCGAAUUUACUGGGCGUAAAGGGUCCGUAGGCGGUCUGGUAAGUGGAAGGUGAAAUCCUGGGGCUCAACUCCAGAAUUGCCUUCCAAACUGCUAGACUUGAGGCAGGGAGAGGUCGGCGGAAUUCCCGGUGUAGCGGUGAAAUGCGUAGAUAUCGGGAGGAACACCAGUGGCGAAGGCGGCCGACUGGAACUGUCCUGACGCUGAGGGACGAAAGCCAGGGGAGCGAACCGGAUUAGAUACCCGGGUAGUCCUGGCCGUAAACGAUGGAUGCUAGAUGUGGGCAGGGAAACCUGUCCGUGUCGCAAGCUAACGCGUUAAGCAUCCCGCCUGGGGAGUACGACCGCAAGGUUGAAACUCAAAGGAAUUGACGGGGACCCGCACAACCGGUGGAGCGUCUGGUUUAAUUCGAUGCUAACCGAAAAACCUCACCAGGGCUUGACAUGCGGUGUGUCGUGGCCGAAAGGUCACUAGGGUACCCUUAUGGGUACCCGCGCCGCACAGGUGGUGCAUGGUCGUCGUCAGCUCGUGUCGUGAGAUGUUGGGUUAAGUCCCGCAACGAGCGCAACCCUUGCCCUGUGUUACCAGCGGGUAAAGCCGGGUACUCACAGGGGACUGCCGGCGAUAAGCCGGAGGAAGGAGGGGAUGACGUCAGAUCAGUAUGCCCUUUAUGCCCUGGGCUACACAGGCGCUACAAUGGCAGGGACAAAGGGAAGCGAAGCCGCAAGGUGGAGCAAACCCCAAAAACCCUGUCGUAGUGCGGAUUGGGGGUUGCAACUCACCCCCAUGAAGGCGGAAUCGGUAGUAAUGGCGAAUCAGCAAUGUCGCCGUGAAUACGUUCUCGGGUCUUGUACACACCGCCCGUCACGCCACGGGAGUUGGGUCCAUCGGAAGUCCCCGGGCCAACCCGCAAGGGAGGCAGGGGCCGAUGAUGGGCCUGGCGACUGGGGCGAAGUCGUAAAAAGGUAACCU
rnacentral:rRNA from 1 species